rnacentral:rRNA from 1 species
UACGUAGGGCGCAAGCGUUGUCCGGAAUUAUUGGGCGUAAAGAGCUCGUAGGCGGCCAGUUGCGUCCGCUGUGAAAUCCUGGGGCUUAACCCCGGGCGUGCAGUGGAUACGGGCUGGCUAGAGGCAGGCAGGGGAGAACGGAAUUCCCGGUGUAGCGGUGAAAUGCGCAGAUAUCGGGAGGAACACCGGUGGCGAAGGCGGUUCUCUGGGCCUGUACUGACGCUGAGACGCGAAAGCGUGGGGAGCGAACAGG